CGAAGAANAGCAAUACUUAGUGGCAGACGGGUGAGUAACAUGUGCGGUAUCUGCCCUUUGGCCUGGAAUAACACGAGGAAACUUGUGCUAAUACCGGAUAAGUCUUUACGGAGAAAGCUUUAUGCACCAUUGGAUGAGCCCGCACUUGAUUAGUUAGUUGGUAGGGUAAUGGCCUACCAAGACUGUGAUCAAUAGCUGAUUUGAGAGGAUGAUCAGCCACAUUGGGACUGAGACACGGCCCAAACUCCUACGGGAGGCAGCAGUGGGGAAUCUUGCACAAUGGAGGAAACUCUGAUGCAGCGAUGCCGCGUGAGUGAAGAAGGCCUUUGGGUUGUAAAGCUCUUUCGUCGGGGAAGAAAAUGACUGUACCCGAAUAAGAAGGUCCGGCUAACUUCGUGCCAGCAGCCGCGGUAAUACGAAGGGACCUAGCGUAGUUCGGAAUUACUGGGCUUAAAGAGUUCGUAGGUGGUUGAAAAAGUUGGUGGUGAAAUCCCAGAGCUUAACUCUGGAACUGCCAUCAAAACUUUUCAGCUAGAGUAUGAUAGAGGAAAGCAGAAUUUCUAGUGUAGAGGUGAAAUUCGUAGAUAUUAGAAAGAAUACCGAUUGCGAAGGCAGCUUUCUGGAUCAUUACUGACACUGAGGAACGAAAGCAUGGGGAGCGAAGAGGAUUAGAUACCCUCGUAGUCCAUGCCGUAAACGAUGUGUGUUAGACGUUGGAAAUUUAUUUUCAGUGUCGCAGCGAAAGCGAUAAACACACCGCCUGGGGAGUACGUCCCGCAGGUUAAAACUCNAAUGAAUUGACGGGGACCCGCACAAGUAGUGGAGCAU
rnacentral:rRNA from 1 species